rfam:TPA: Bos taurus chromosome 14, whole genome shotgun sequence.
UCCCUGGUAGUCCAGUGGCUAAGACUCCGUGCUUCCAAAGCAGGGGGCCUGGGUUUCAGCCCUGGUCAGGGAA